GGGUGGUAAUGCCGGAUGUUCCAGUUGAUCGCAUGGUCUUCUGGGAAAGCUUUCGCGGUAUGGGAUGGGGUCGCGUCCUAUCAGCUUGACGGCGGGGUAACGGCCCACCGUGGCUUCGACGGGUAGCCGGCCUGAGAGGGCGACCGGCCACAUUGGGACUGAGAUACGGCCCAGACUCCUACGGGAGGCAGCAGUGGGGAAUAUUGCACAAUGGGCGCAAGCCUGAUGCAGCGACGCCGCGUGAGGGAUGGAGGCCUUCGGGUUGUAAACCUCUUUUAUCGGGGAGCAAGCGUGAGUGAGUUUACCCGUUGAAUAAGCACCGGCUAACUACGUGCCAGCAGCCGCGGUAAUACGUAGGGUGCAAGCGUUAUCCGGAAUUAUUGGGCGUAAAGGGCUCGUAGGCGGUUCGUCGCGUCCGGUGUGAAAGUCCAUCGCUUAACGGUGGAUCCGCGCCGGGUACGGGCGGGCUUGAGUGCGGUAGGGGAGACUGGAAUUCCCGGUGUAACGGUGGAAUGUGUAGAUAUCGG
rnacentral:rRNA from 2 species